rnacentral:rRNA from 1 species
GAUGAACGCUAGCUACAGGCUUAACACAUGCAAGUCGAGGGGCAGCAUGAAGUUUGCUUGCAAACUUUGAUGGCGACCGGCGCACGGGUGAGUAACGCGUAUCCAACCUCCCGCAUACUCGGGGAUAGCCUUCUGAAAGGAAGAUUAAUACCCGAUGGUAUCUUAAGCGCACAUGCAAUUAAGAUUAAAGAAUUUCGGUAUGCGAUGGGGAUGCGUUCCAUUAGGUAGUAGGCGGGGUAACGGCCCACCUAGCCAUCGAUGGAUAGGGGUUCUGAGAGGAAGGUCCCCCACAUUGGAACUGAGACACGGUCCAAACUCCUACGGGAGGCAGCAGUGAGGAAUAUUGGUCAAUGGGCGCGAGCCUGAACCAGCCAAGUAGCGUGAAGGAUGACUGCCCUAUGGGUUGUAAACUUCUUUUGUCCGGGAAUAAAACCGCCUACGUGUAGGCGCUUGUAUGUACCGGUACGAAUAAGCAUCGGCUAACUCCGUGCCAGCAGCCGCGGUAAUACGGAGGAUGCGAGCGUUAUCCGGAUUUAUUGGGUUUAAAGGGAGCGCAGACGGGUUUUUAAGUCAGCUGUGAAAGUUUGGGGCUCAACCUUAAAAUUGCAGUUGAUACUGGAGACCUUGAGUGCAGUUGAGGCAGGCGGAAUUCGUGGUGUAGCGGUGAAAUGCUUAGAUAUCACGAAGAACUCCGAUUGCGAAGGCAGCUUGCUAAAGUGUAACUGACGUUCAUGCUCGAAAGUGUGGGUAUCAAACAGG